ensembl:snRNA U1 U1 spliceosomal RNA
AUACUUACCUAGAAGGGAAGAUACUAUGAUCACAAAGGUGGUUUUUCCCAGGGCGAGGCAUUUUCAUUGCAUUCUAGACAAUCUGAUCCCUGUGAUUUCCUCAAAUGUGGGAAACUCUACUGCAUAAUUUGUGAUAGUGGGAACUGAGUUCAUGCUCUCCUAU